rnacentral:rRNA from 1 species
UUGCCAGACUCCUACGGGAGGCAGCAGUGAGGAAUAUUGGUCAAUGGGCGGGAGCCUGAACCAGCCAUGCCGCGUGAAGGCGAGUGCCCUACGGGCGUUAAACUUCUUUUGUGCGGGAGCAAUAAGGGCCACGUGUGGCCCGAUGAGAGUACCGCACGAAUAAGCAUCGGCUAACUCCGUGCCAGCAGCCGCGGUAAUACGGAGGAUGCGAGCGUUAUCCGGAUUUAUUGGGUUUAAAGGGUGCGCAGGCGGAGGUGCAAGUCAGUGGUCAAAUUGCGGGGCUCAACCCCGUACUGCCGUUGAAACUGCAUCCCUUGAGUGCGCGAGAAGUAUGCGGAAUGCGUGGUGUAGCGGUGAAAUGCAUAGAUAUCACGCAGAACUCCGAUUGCGAAGGCAGCAUACCGGCGCGCAACUGACGCUCAUGCACGAAAGCGUGGGUAUCGACCAGGAUUAGAUACCCGCGUAU